CCUACGGGAGACAGCAGUGGGGAAUAUUGCACAAUGGGGGAAACCCUGAUGCAGCAACGCCGCGUGAAGGAAGACGGUUUUCGGAUUGUAAACUUCUAUCAAUAGGGAAGAAAGAAAUGACGGUACCUAAAUAAUAAGCCCCGGCGAACUACGUGCCAGCAGCCGAGGUAAUACGUAGGGGGCAAGCGUUAUCCGGAAUUACUGGGUGUAAAGGGAGAGUAGGCGGCAAGGUAAGCGAUAUGUGAAAGCCUUAAGCUUAACUAAAGGAUUGCAUAACGAACUAUCUAGCUAGAGUACAGGAGAGGAAAGCGGAAUUCCUGGUGUAGCGGUGAAAUGCGUAGAUAUUAGGAAGAACACCAGUGGCGAAGGCGGCUUUCUGGACUGAAACUGACGCUGAGGCUCGAAAGCGUGGGGAGCGAACAGGAUUAGAUACCCUGGUAGUC
rnacentral:rRNA from 1 species